UUUAAGAGUCUCUUAUGCUUUGGCCUUGAGCUUAAGCCCUAAAGGUGGAGGAGUAAAAGGAGAUAAUGUUUAGCAAUGAAUUAAAUUAGUAGAGUAGUUGAUUCUGUAGACAAAGAAACUUAUUCAGAUGGACAGUUAAGUAGAAAAUCUCUUUGCAGAUACCUGAGUUGAUGUAUUUUUAAAUAAACCUAUCGUAGCUUUAUGUAAUACACUUGCUCAAUUAAAAUGUUUUUAAGCACUAGAAAGUUGAGUAAGGAACAAACCUAUCAAGCUCCUUGUCAAUUCUUUCCUGCCGCUGUCUUAGGAGUUUUAUUUCUUCAUUAAUUCUGUGCUUCUCUCUAUAAAAUCAAAAUUUCGAGUUAAAUUUUAAAGUAAACCAGGCAUUUCUACUUGGGAAAGAAUAAAUCAGCAAUUUGCUGACUUCUACAUGUGAGCAAAAGCCCUUCACAGACCAGUUCUUCAACAUCCCCUCCCUACGCACUACGUGGUGGGAGGACACCCCCAGCCCAGCCCCUCCUAUAUAUACAUACCAAACGCAUAACCCAUGACACCUGAGUAAGGUCUGGACUCCACCUUGCUGCUUCAGCAGGGGCCCUCUUACAAAGUGUCGAUGCCUGUGUGCGCGUGUGCAUGUGUGGUGGGGGUUGGAGGGCUGGGGGAGGUGGGAGGGAAAUGGCGCCCCUCAGAAAGCAGAUUUUCUACAAACUUUUGUCCUGCUCGCUGGAUAAGACCUACCUGGCUGCUCUUCCAUUUAUCUCUCUUUGUUGUAUUCCAUUCCUCAAUACUGCUCCAAUUGCCACCCCUGCUCCAGCGAGCUCAUCCUGCAAACAACCUUUCUGUGCUCCCAGGGCUCAUCUUUGUAAAUCAACAAUACUCCAGUCUCUGUUCCCUGGAGCUCUCUCCUGGUCUCUCCAUGCUGGGAUGCAUCCCUCCAACCACAGUACAGCAAAGUUUCCUUCCUUCCUUCAACCCCCUGAUACUUGCCAUGGCUCCACAGCUCUAACGUACACCCUUGACACUUACUAGAAAAGAAUCUCCAAAUCUCUUAAGACACUCAGAAGUGACUCUCCUCACCGGUAAAAUAAAGAGCUUAAUGCAGAUGAUUUCUAUGAUUACUUCCAGCUCACAGCACUUAUGAUUUUACAUUUAACAACAGUUUGGCAUCAACUUACAUCCUAAAAUCCUUUUGAUUCUUUGCAAACUGUCUUUUUGCUUCUUUUAUGAUAUCACGGUAAGUUGGAGCAGGAUAUGGUUCUUGCAAUAUUUCAGUGAAUUUAAUCUUGGUUUGUUUAGGGGCCUUGGAAAUACCAGCUAACUCAUGCAUCUUCAGAUAAUAUAAAAUCAGUGGACUCUGACCUCCAAAAUUGAACAGUACACGGUUAAACUCUGGACCAGUGCUACUAUAAUGGGACUGUAAAGGAGAAAAAAAAUCAAGUUAAUUAUUACUUUUAUGUAUUUUUAAAGAGCUAUAAAUAAAUGUAACUGUAUUAUAACUAUGAAUAUAGUUAUUAUCUGGUAUAUUAAAAUAAAUAAAAAGAAAUUCCGCAAAGCACCUUCUUAAUGAGAGACAUUUAUUACAGUAUGAGUCUAUGAGUUUGUGCAGUAAGGCUCUUCUAGCUUUUUUAUUUAUCAGCUUGAUAAAUAGGUCAAUGGACAUUAUUUUGUCUGAAGAACAGAAAGAAAAAUGAAAGAGGAAAAUGAACAGAGCUCCAGAAAAAGGGACAGGAACAAAUAUGAAGACAAAAAUGACCAAAACCUCCAAACUUUUGUGAAAAACAUAUCCAAGAAGCUUAACUCCAAGUAGGAAAAAUACUCACCUAGACACAUCAUACUCAAAGUGCUGAAAGACCAAGACAAAAAGAAAUUUCAAAAGCAGCAAGAGAAAAACAACAUAUAAGGGAAUCCCAAUACGGUUUAAAGUUGAAUUUUUAUCAGAACAAAGGAGGCCAGAAGGCAUGUGGAUAACAUAAUCGAAGUGCUAAUGGAAAAAAAACUGUCCAUGAAUUCUCUGUCAUAAAUAUAAUUGCUCCAAGAUUUUAUUACUGACUUCUUGUGGGAUAAAGGUCAGUAUAGCAACAAUUCAUACAUUAAGUCUUUCCUGCCUUUUUGUAAUGUCUAGAUGUGAGAUUUAUUAUUGAUUCCACUUCCUGUGAGGAAAUAAGAUUUUAUGCUCAUUUGCUUUUACUGAUACAUACAGUUGUCUUGUGUUUCUUUUGCUUAUGGUCACUUUUUCAUUGCUUUCCUUCAGAGAUGCUCCAGAAUUAUUUUGAGUAGUGGGACUAUCAUAAUCAAAAGCAAUUCUCUGAUGGUGAAAACUCAGUGUCAAAAUCAGACAUGUUUUCUAUGAUGUAAAUCAUUUACUUCGUCUCAAUCUCCCAUGGAAAUUCACAUAAGGUUAUAUCUAGCCUGAUCUUUAAAUUGCAUAUAUAACCAGGACAAGCUUUGUCUAGAUUAAAAGGAAAUACUACCUGUCUAGAAAGAAAGAUGUUUCAUGACCUUUUCCCCAGAUUCUGCCUUGGAUACUGUAAGACAGAAACUUGAUCUUACUGAAAUUCAAGACAUAGACAUUUGUUAUUUUUUCCACAGUUCUCCUUUUUUUACAUAGGAAAACCACAGUUAAUACCUACUUCUUCCAUAGAAGGACCACUGAUUUUUAAGGGCAGUUCAACUCGAUAAUAGCAGAACUAGGCAUUAAGUGUAUAUCCAGUGUUUUGUGGAGCCUUAGCCAUUUUCUUAGAUACUUUAAAGCAGAGGGUUUGAAGUGGUGCAAAGAACUCCUAGAGAUAUUCCAAAUAGCCAAAACAAUUACCAGGAGCCUCACUACUUCCAUCUGCCCCACAAAAGAUAAUGGUAGAAAAUUAUCAGAAAACUUUAAGGUCCCAUAAAACAAGACCUAUAUAGUCAAGAGUCAACUUAGUACUAAAUCUUAGAACCAAGGAAUCCCAUAAACUUUGAAAGAGUCACAGGAGAUGAGCUAGAAGGAGGAGUUUGGUGCUUCAUUGUUUUGUUAAGUUAUUAAAGGAUAAUUGCUGUCAAUGACUAGAAAGGUAAACUUUGAUUUUUGAGGUUUGAAUGUGCAUUCUGCCGAUGCUCAUAUGGGCAUUCGGAAGCCACAGGCACCCAUUCGGCAUCUGGACAACGCUGGUGCUUAGAAAAUUCUUUAUGUUGCACUGAAAACUGUCUCCCUAUAGCUUUCACUUACCAGUAAAUGUAAGAACUUUGUGGUUUGUAUUGGUAAAACAAUUAUUUUGAGUCACACAGAAAAAGCCUAAUCCUGCUUUCCUACAGUAGCUCUCUACAUAUUUGAAAACAGUUAUUACAACCACCAGAGUCUUUUCUUUUCUAAUGGAAAUGCCUUUAAAUAUUUUGGUCAUUGCUCAAAUAUACCAUUAAUUAUAUAAUUAUAGUCCUUAAUUAUCCUGAUUAUUUUCUAUUCAGAACUCUUUUGUUUGUCUACACCCUUUUAUAAUGCAGGACUCCCAAAUGAACAUAAUACACAAUAAUUAUGUAAUCAACAUAGAGUAGAUCCCAUAUGUCUGUUUAAAAAGCUCAAGAAUGCAGUAAGAUUUGGGAGUCAACAGUGUGUUGAUACAUACAGAGAUUACUGUAAAAAAUAAUUUCCAAAUCUUUUCGGAUGCCUCUAACCCAAGGCUUUAUUAUCCUAUACUUAUGCAGCUGUAAUUUUGGACCUUUAUACUUUUUUCAUAAUAAAAAUUUAUCUUCUAAGAUUAAGCCUACUACUCAACUGUUGUAAACCUUUAGUCAUCCAAUGCAUUCAUCGUUCUUCCAAGGUUUAUGACUUCUAAAUAUCUAAUAAAAAUGGCAACCAUGUUUUUAUCCAAGUUGUUGAUAAAAUAGUCUGCAGAGGACAGGGCCAAUGAUGCAGCAAUGUGGUGUAUUACCAGAGAUGGAUCUGCAGUUUGCUUUCCAUCUUUUAACAGUGUCAUCUGAAAAAGUUUGUUCAGUCAGUUAGAAAUCCACCUGUCCAUAUUUCUUCAACUUGUAAAUAAGGUGUAAAAGGCCAUUUAUAGUGAUUACUGAAGAUCAGAUAUACAGCCUCUAUUACAUUUCCUGAUUUAUAAACCCAGCAAUAUUGUACGUGUCCCCACCCAACCCUAAUGGUGUGAUAUUGUCAUUGAUCCUAAAUUGACUCCUAGAGAUCACCAGUUUCUAUUCUAAGUACUUACAAACCACCUUUGGCAGCACUGUAAAGGUUAGAAAACAUUUUAGUUAUCUGGGUUAUUAAAGAUAGGGAAAUAUAUUAAGUAUUGACUUCAGAAAGCGGUUUGUAUAUAGGCAUAAUUUAAAAUUUAUGGUCAGACUUGACUAGACAAUCCAGACAAAAUUUUAGCAAUAAAGACUGCAAUCAAUUUAAAACCUAUUUGUCUAAUAAGAGAUCAAAUUCAGAAUUUCAAGCCUGUAACCUCAUCAAAUCUUGGCUAAAGCAACACAAGGUGGCCAAGUCCCUGAGGGUCUCUAUUAGGGAGGAACCACCAGAAACGUGCAAAAACUAAGUACCCACAACUUAUCAGUAACACUACACACAUAUGGCCAGUUAUUCCAGAGCCAUGGCUUCAGAGGAGUUUGAUGAAAACUCUUGUGACAUUUUCCCUGCAAUUUUGACUAGAACUUACUGAGAUCAUAGUUGAGAUCAAUGUUUGUAUAUCAACCCAAGGAAAAGCAGUGCCAGAAGUGUGGGAAAAGAUGAAUUUUAUGUGGUUUUUUGUUCAUUAGAGAUGAGGAUAUUUUAUUUUAAAAAAAUUUUUAAAGUUUAUUUAUUUAUUUUGAGAGAAAGGGAGAGAGAGGCAGGGGAGGCGCAGAGAGAGAGGGAGAGAGAGAAUCCCAAGCAGGUUCCGCCCUGUCAGCACAGACCCAAACACAGGGCUCAAUCCCAUAAACUGUAAGAUCAUGACCUGAGCUGAAAUCAAGAGUCAGAUGCUUAACCAACUGAGCCACCCAGGCACGCAGAGGAUAUUUUUAAAAAACAAUAAAACAUUUUAACAUUAAGAUUAACCUCUCUGGUAAAUCACUUUGAUCACUAAAUUUUUCUAAAAUAUAUAUCAGGAGUGUAACAAUGAACACUGUCUAUAUGAAGCUGUUAAACUAAGCAAAUUAAAGAGGUCAGAACAUUUUGGGGGGGCACCUGGGUGGUUCAGUAGGUUGGGCGUCUGACUUCAGCUCAGGUCAUGAUCUCAUGGUUUGUGAGUUCCAUCUCCAUGUCGGGCUCUGUGCUGACAGCUCGGAGGCUGAAGCCUGCUUCGGAUUCUGUGUCUCCCACACUCUCUGCCCCUUCCCUGCUUGUGCUCCCUUUCUCUCUCUCUCUUUCAAAAAUAAACAUUAAAAAAAAAGUAAGAACAUUUUUUAUAAUUAUUAUGCUCCAAACCUUUGUUGUUAGUCUUGAUACACUUGAUUCUUCCUUGAAUGUGGGCAUUGUGUAUGCUCUUGGGUUCUUUAAAAUUUUCAUCAUAUUGAAGUCUAUCGCUAAAAGAGAAAAUAAAGUAUUUUCCUAAA